AGGAGGACCCCCUCACCAGGUCGAGGCACUCGUCUACACGUGGAAUUGGGUACCAUCACCACUGGAGCUGACCACGGGCUGUUGGACGGCUCAAUGAAGUCGGCCUGCUCCAUCUCCUCCACGGCUCUGUCCGCUGCUUCCUGUCUUGCCAGUGCUAUGCGACGUGGUCGAAUCUUCACCGGUUGAGCAUCGCCUGUGUUGAUCUCAUGUUGCACUAGAUGAGUACAGCCCACAUCCUGUUCACUCCACGCAAAACUGUCCUUGAACUCGGUUAAGAGUUGUCUCAGCUGCUCCCCUUGUUCUGAGUUGAGGUCCUUGUUGUUCCUCCGACAGACCUCCACCGCUGCCAGAGAGGCGUCAACCCCCCCUACGGCCUGUAGGGGUGGGGGCAGAGAUGAUGGCGUGGUUGGUGACGUCUCGGUGUUGUCCCGAGGGGAUGCAGAACGGCAGCCCUUUCCACUAAACAGGACCCCGGGUGUGGACAUUUUGACAUCAGGCCCACCCCCAAAACGCAUGGUGCCUGUGCCUAGAUCUAACUGGCAGCCAAUGUCUCUGAGGAAGUCUAAGCCCAGGAUACAGGGGUCCUGCACACUAGCUACCCACACUAGGUGUUUUACUGUCUUACCCCCCACAGUCAGUGACAUCAGUUUUUUUCCUAACAUAGGAGCAGUCUCACCGGUAACAGUUCGCAGUUGCACAGCAGUUGGUUCCCAAGCCACCCACUCAGGAACAAUGUCCGGCCGCACAAUCGUCACAGUGGACCCAGUGUCCACCAAGGCUGUACACGCUGUCCCCUCCACCGCAACUGGUCUCGCGCCCAGCAUCUUCCCUCACGCAACUCGAUACGUUAUCCGAGUUGACGACUAAACUAGCCCUCCGACCGAGGCGGCAGUUCGAAAGCGCUUCUGACACCAGUGUAACACCCCUGGUCGGGAUGCUAAAUCAGGAGCCGGAGUCAGAGGAGUGGAGCCACGAGAGAGAGAGAGCUUCCCAAACCCCACCUUAUAUAAGCAAUGGCCUGAGACCCCUGGACCCGCCCCUGCUGUCCCCAAGUCCCCCAGAGAUGCCCUCCUCACUGCGGGACGUCCCACCAGGUAAACCAGCCCCACCUAACUGUCAGGCCCCGCCCCCUAAUGAAGCAUAACUGACCAACUUAGAACUUUAAAUGAACACAGGGUCGCUACAAUACUAUGCAGUGAAGGACUGAAAUCAUGCAGCGCCCACAAGGUCCCCCAGCUCAAGAAAGCAUAUGUACAGGCCUGAAGUUUGCCAAUGAAUAUCUGAAUGAUUCAGAG
ensembl:lncRNA